AGUGAACGCUGGCGGUAGGCCUAACACAUGCAAGUCGAACGGCAGCACAGUAAGAGCUUGCUCUUACGGGUGGCGAGUGGCGGACGGGUGAGGAAUACAUCGGAAUCUACUUUUUCGUGGGGGAUAACGUAGGGAAACUUACGCUAAUACCGCAUACGACCUACGGGUGAAAGCAGGGGAUCUUCGGACCUUGCGCGAUUGAAUGAGCCGAUGUCGGAUUAGCUAGUUGGCGGGGUAAAGGCCCACCAAGGCGACGAUCCGUAGCUGGUCUGAGAGGAUGAUCCGCCACACUGGAACUGAGACACGGUCCAGACUCCUACGGGAGGCAGCAGUGGGGAAUAUUAGACAAUGGGCGCAAGCCUGAUCCAGCCAUACCGCGUGGGUGAAGAAGGCCUUCGGGUUGUAAAGCCCUUUUGUUGGGAAAGAAAAGCAGCAGGUUAAUCCCCCGCUGUUCUGACGGUACCCAAAGAAUAAGCACCGGCUAACUUCGUG
rnacentral:rRNA from 1 species